rnacentral:rRNA from 1 species
UACGGGGGGGGCAAGCGUUGUUCGGAAUUACUGGGCGUAAAGGGCUCGUAGGCGGCCAACUAAGUCGGAUGUGAAAUCCCCAGGCUUAACCUGGGAACUGCAUCCGAUACUGGAUGGCUUGAAUUCGGGAGAGGGAAGCAGAAUUCCAGGUGUAGCGGUGAAAUGCGUAGAUAUCUGGAGGAAUACCGGUGGCGAAGGCGGCAUCCUGGACCGACAUUGACGCUGAUGAGCGAAAGCUAGGGGAGCAAACGGG